rnacentral:misc_RNA from 1 species
GAAAUGCGAUACUUGGUGUGAAUUGCAGAAUCUCGCAAACCAUCAAGUCUUUCAACGCAAGUUGUGCCCGAAGCCAUUAGGUCUAGGGCACGUCUGCCUGGGUGUCUCUCGUUGCGUCGCCUUGCAGGCGGAUGUUAGCCCCCCGCAGGCACCCGCGCGUGGUCGGCCCAAAAGCGAGUCCCCCGCGACGGACGACGCAUCGCGACGAGUGGUGGUUGACAAACCGUUGCGUCGCCUCGUGCGCAUCCGGGCCAUCUCAGGAGGCCUGUCGUGACCCUAUCGCACGGCCGCCAAGGCGCUGCGAUCGCGACCCCAGGUUAGGCGGGAUUACCAACUAAGUUUAA